rnacentral:rRNA from 1 species
UAUUGGACAAUGGGCGCAAGCCUGAUCCAGCCAUGCCGCGUGUGUGAAGAAGGCCUUCGGGUUGUAAAGCACUUUUGUUGGGGAAGAAACCGGCCGGGUUAAUACCCUGGUUGAAUGACGGUACCCAAAGAAUAAGCACCUGCUAACUUCGUGCCAGCAGCCGCGGUAAUACGAAGGGUGCAAGCGUUACUCGGAAUUACUGGGCGUAAAGCGUGCGUAGGCGGUUCGUUAAGUCUGUCGUGAAAGCCCCGGGCUCAACCUGGGAAUGGCGAUGGAUACUGGCGGGCUAGAGUGUGUCAGAGGAUGGUGGAAUUCCCGGUGUAGCGGUGAAAUGCGUAGAGAUCGGGAGGAACACCAGUGGCGAAGGCGGCCAUCUGGGACAACACUGACGCUGAGGCACGAAAGCGUGGGGAGCAAACAG